rnacentral:rRNA from 1 species
AUGAACGCUAGCUACAGGCUUCACACCUGCAAGUCGAGGGGAAACGAUGAGAGAGCUUGCUCUCUUAGUCGUCGACCGGCGCACGGGUGAGUAACGCGUAUCCAACCUGCCUCUGACCAAGGGAUAACCCGUCGAAAGUCGGACUAAUACCUUAUGCAGUCGUCGGAAGUCAUCUGAUGACGACGAAAGAUUUCAUCGGUGAGAGAUGGGGAUGCGUCUGAUUAGCUUGUUGGCGGGGUAACGGCCCACCAAGGCGACGAUCAGUAGGGGUUCUGAGAGGAAGGUCCCCCACAUUGGAACUGAGACACGGUCCAAACUCCUACGGGAGGCAGCAGUGAGGAAUAUUGGUCAAUGGGCGUAAGCCUGAACCAGCCAAGUAGCGUGCAGGAUGACGGCCCUAUGGGUUGUAAACUGCUUUUAUGCGGGGAUAAAGUGAGGGACGUGUCCUUCAUUGCAGGUACCGCAUGAAUAAGGACCGGCUAAUUCCGUG